rnacentral:rRNA from 1 species
UGAAGUAAGUAAGGGCGUACGGUGAAUGCCUUGGUGCCAACAGGCGAAGAAGGACGCGGCAAGCUGCGAAAAACCUCGGGAAGCUGCAAGCAAGCGAUGAUCCGGGGGUGUCCGAAUGGGGUAACCUGACUGGGGUAAUACCUAGUCGUUCAUACCUGAAUACAUAGGGUAUGAAACGCAAUACCCGCUGAAGUGAAACAUCUCAGUAAGCGGAGGAAAAGAAAGAGAAAUCGAUUCCGUAAGUAGUGGCGAGCGAAAGCGGAUGGAGCCCAAACCGAAGGUACUCCUUCGGGGUUGUAGGACCACGACAUAUUCGACCAUAGUGGAUAGUAGAACAGUCUGGAAAGGCUGGCCAUAGAAGGUGAAAGCCCUGUAGACGAAAUCCAGAGUGGGAAUUAGUGGUAUCCUGAGUAAUACAUCACACGUGGAACGAUGUAUGAAUCAGCGCGGACCACCGCGCAAGGCUAAAUACUAGUUGGCGACCGAUAGUGAACAAGUACCGUGAGGGAAAGGUGAAAAGAACCGCUGUGAGCGGAGUGAAAUAGAACCUGAAACCGUAUGUCUACAAAGUGUCAGAGCAGAGCGAUCUGCGAUGGCGUGCCUUUUGUUUAAUGAGUCUGCGAGUCAGUGUUUGUGGCAAGACUAAGGGCUUCCGGCCCGGAGUCGCAGCGAAAGCAAGUCCGAAUAGGGCGAAUUAAGUCGCAGGUACUGGACCCGAAGCGGAGGUGACCUACCCUUGGCCAGGUUGAAGCAUGGGUAAAACCAUGUGGAGGACCGAACAGGUGAACGUUGAAAAGUUCUCUGAUGAGCUGAGGGUAGGAGUGAAAGGCUAAUCAAACCCCGUGAUAGCUGGUUCUCUUCGAAAUGCAUUUAGGUGCAGCGUCACGUGCUGAUGCGCGGGGGUAGAGCACUGACAAGGCUAGGGGGCACACCCGCUUACCAAACCUUAUCAAACUCCGAAUACCGUGCAAUGGAACGUGGCAGUGAGACAGUGGGGGAUAAGCUUCAUUGUCGAGAGGGAAACAACCCAGACCAGCAGCUAAGGUGCCUAAAUAACGCUGAGUGGAAAGGAUGUGGGAUUACACAGACAGUGAGGAUGUUGGCUUAGAAGCAGCCACCAUUUAAAAAAUGCGUAAUAGCUUACUCAUCGAGUGAUCCUGCGCCGAAAAUGAUUGGCGAUCAAGCGUUAUACCGAAGCUCUGGACUUUGCCGCAAGGCAGAGUGGUAGAAGAGCGUUGCAUGCGCAUUGAAGGGUGAUGGCGACUGACCCUGGAGCGCAUGCAAGUGAGUAUGCAGACAUGAGUAACGUAAAGCCGGGUGAAAUCCCCGGCCGCCGUAAACCCGAGGUUUCCAGGGCAACGUGUUUCGUCCCUGGGUUAGCCGGGACCUAAGCCGAGGCCGAGAGGCGUAGGCGAUGGAUAUCAGGUUAAUAAUCCUGAGCUCGCGACCCUUAAACUGGGGGGACGCAUGAGAAGAGAUGACCAGGUUAUUGAAUUCCGAGCUGGGUCCACGGAUCCAGCGCAUCAUCAAAUCGAGUGCCAAGAAAAGCCCCAGCGUAUGCUAAGCGACCCGUACCGCAAACCGACACAGGUGGGUGGGUAGAAUAUACCAAGGCGUAAGAGUGAAACCUGGUUAAGGAACUCGGCAAAUUAGCCCCGUAACUUCGGAAGAAGGGGUGCCUGCAGCGAUGCAGGCCGCAGAGAAAUGGCCCAACCGACUGUUUAUCAAAAACACAGCACUCUGCAAAGACGCAAGUCGAAGUAUAGGGUGUGACACGUGACCAAUGCCGAAAGAUUAAGGCAAGGGGUUAGCCGCAAGGCGAAGCUCUGAACCCAAGUCCCGGUGAAUGUCGGCCGUAACUAUAACGGUCCUAAGGUAGCGAAAUUCCUUGUCGGGUAAGUUCCGACCUGCACGAAUCGUGAAACGAGUUGGGCACUGUCUCAACCAGGCGCUCAGUGAAAUUGUAGUGGCGGUGAAGAUGCCGCCUACCCGCAGAAGGACGGAAAGACCCUAUAGACCUUAACUGUAAGCUGUCAUUGUUUCUUCGGUUUUAAUGCUCAGAGUAAGUGGGAGACGCUGAAGAUGCCCUUUAGGGGGCAUCCGAGUCAUCAAUGAGACACCACCCUUUGAAACUGGAGGAUCUAACCCUGAGCCGUGAAUCCGGCCAGAGGACCGUGUCAGCCGGUCAGUUUUACUGGGGCGGUAUCCUCCCAAAGAGUAACGGAGGAGCGCGAAGGUGGGCUCAGCCCGGUUGGCAACCGGGUGUCGAGUGCAUGGGCAUAAGCCCGCCUAACUGUGAGACCAACAAGUCGAGCAGAUGCGAAAGCAGGCCCAAGUGAUCCGGCGGUAGAAAGUGGAAUUGCCGUCGCUCAACGGAUAAAAGGUACCUUAGGGAUAACAGGCUGAUCACGCCCAAGAGUUCAUAUCGACGGCGUGGUUUGGCACCUCGAUGUCGGCUCGUCGCAUCCUGGGGCUGGAGAAGGUCCCAAGGGUCCGGCUGUUCGCCGGUUAAAGCGGCACGCGAGCUGGGUUCAGAACGUCGCGAGACAGUUCGGUCCUCUAUCCUCUGUGGGCGUUGGAAAAUUGAGGGGUUCAGACCUUAGUACGAGAGGACCGGGUCUGACGCACCACUGGUGCAUCGGUUGUACUGUCAAGUGCAUGGCCGAGUAGCUAAGUGCGGAAGGGAUAAGCGCUGAAAGCAUCUAAGCGCCAAGCCCAUCCCAAGAUGAGUUUUCCCUAUAGGUUCGUGGAAGACCACCACGUCGAUAGGUCGCAGGUGUAAGUGCAGCAAUGUAUUGAGCCAAGCGAUACUAAUCACCGAUAGACUUCAUCAU